GGCGCUUUUCGGGGCCCGCCUCCAGCAAGCCUGGAAUGCCAAAUAUUUACUCGUGCUGCUAGGCGCAGCCGCGAGGUAGGUCCCACCCCUUGCAUCCCCAAGCGCGCCUGCGUCAGGCCUGGGCCCUGCUCCCUAGCUAACUUCCCCUCACCUGUCCUGCCCAACCCACUCAGUUCCUAAAAUGCCCGUGGUGUGUAUUGCACCUUGUCUGGGCUCCCGCUCCUACAGAACAGCCUCGGUGUCCCCGCAGGGCUUUCCUGGCGCUGCUUGUCUCGGUCUCGCUCCACCUAGCGCCCCCACUCGUUGAGGUUCGAGGUAGACCCUUUUCCUUCUUGGUUAGUGCUCGUCUGGACGUCAGACAUCCAGAAAGCCUCCCUCUGGAGUGACCCUGACGUUGUGGCACCCCUGGCUGUCCUUAUUCACACUGGUGAGACACUCAUGCGUGUCCAAGUCUUGGCUGGAAGGUGAGUCCAAAGUACCAUGUUGGCAGUAUAGGGCGGUUCCCCCCAGCAUCCACAAGCCCAUCCAACUGCCCCAAUACCAUAACUUCCCAAUAUAGAACUUGGACUUCUUGAAAAUGCAAAUCGUUUCAAUAACGUGGGGUGCUUCCUUUGCUGAGUUCCUCACUGAAUGGGUUCUUUGGGGUAGCCUUAUUAUGAAACAACUUGUGCCCCUCUGCUGAUAACCAAACUUACGUCACAAUUCAUUACUUAUGUAUUGUUUCUCUCAUCUGAUUCUCGAGGUGGGACUUCCUCCAGUGCAUAUCACGGGGCCUGACACUCAAUGAAUGAAUGGUGUUGCUGCUCCCACCUUCGGAUAUUCCAUCAAUAAGUCCUGCUGGACUACAGGGCUUUUGGAGUAGUGAGUAGGGUAUUAUCUGUGGGUUUUCCUCCCUUGAUAGCUGGUCUCUGCUUUUCCUCAUUUUCACCUUUCAAAAUACCUCUCUCAAGCCAGCCAUUAUGGUACACACCUGUAAUCCCAGCACACAGGAGACUGAUGCAGGAGGAUCGCUGGCCUCAAAUUCACGGCAAUCCUCCUGCCUCAGCCUCCCAGGAGCUAGGAUUAUAGGCAUGCACCACUACACCCAGGUUCCUUCCUUUUUUGGCCAAAAAACAUCCCGCGAAGGAACAAGAUUCCACACGAGGCUACUCCAAGGGACCCUCACUAGCCGGGUCAGACCUAUCUGCCCCACCUCAAUGGCCCAGCAACUACCAGCUGACCUCACUGCUACUACUUCUGAUCUGAGCCUUCAGAGCACCUUUGGCG
rnacentral:lncRNA from 1 species